rnacentral:lncRNA from 1 species
GAAGGGGCUGUUUUUCAGCCUGCCUCUCCUUGGGAUGCAGUAUGAACACUUGCUCACAGGAGCUGCCUAAUGCUGACAUUCUCAGGCUGCACAGCAGAAGGCAUCAUGGGAAGCAGAAGGAGGCCUCACUCAGUGUGCUCCCUUCUCAGCUGCUUCCAGGUGCUCUCUCCAGACCUCCCAAAGGCCAGGGAAUAUAUGAACAAUUCUAUGCACUGGCUGAAACAGACACAUACCAAUGGCAGCUUUGCCAAAAGAGUAGACACUGCAACUGGCUGAGUGACGAGUGCAACAGAAUAGCUGUCUUCCAACAACCAACCAAAGGCCAGAACACACGUGGGUGGGUGGCCCUGCAAACCUGCCACUUCCGCAGUGAACCUUUGCAAUGGUCAAGAUGUUCUGGCUCAGCAAGGACUCAGAACAACCAGGAGGUUUGGAGAGCAACUCCAUGGAUCAGAGUACAAACGUGGGGCAGAGAGAUACUGACCAGAGGGUACAGAUGGAGAUGAAGGACUGACCCUGAGAAGACAAUAAUUACUAGUUUUGUUUACUGUUAGCCCCCUCACCAGUCACCUGGGGCAGCAGUUUUUAUUAAAACCGCUGUAUUAAUAAAAUCAGAAAUGCCGAUUGGGAGA